rnacentral:rRNA from 1 species
GGACGAACGCUGGCGGCGUGCCUAAUACAUGCAAGUCGAGCGGACCAAUGAAGAGCUUGCUCUUCGGCGGUUAGCGGCGGACGGGUGAGUAACACGUAGGCAACCUGCCUGUACGACUGGGAUAACUCCGGGAAACCGGAGCUAAUACCGGAUACUUCUUUCAGACCGCAUGGUCUGAAAGGGAAAGACYUUUGGUCACGUACAGAUGGGCCUGCGGCGCAUUAGCUAGUUGGUGGGGUAACGGCCUACCAAGGCGACGAUGCGUAGCCGACCUGAGAGGGUGAUCGGCCACACUGGGACUGAGACACGGCCCAGACUCCUACGGGAGGCAGCAGUAGGGAAUCUUCCGCAAUGGACGAAAGUCUGACGGAGCAACGCCGCGUGAACGAUGAAGGUUUUCGGAUCGUAAAGUUCUGUUGUUAGGGAAGAACCGCCGGGAUGACCUCCCGGUCUGACGGUACCUAACGAGAAAGCCCCGGCUAACUAC